rnacentral:rRNA from 1 species
UACGGAGGGUGCAAGCGUUAAUCGGAUUUAUUGGGCGUAAAGUGCGCGUAGGCGGACUGGAAAGUCAGAUGUGAAAUUUCGUGGCUCAACCACGGAGCUGCAUUUGAAACUUCCAGACUAGAGGAUAGAGCGGGGGAAGCGGAAUUCCACGUGUAGCGGUGAAAUGCGUAGAUAUGUGGAGGAACACCGGUGGCGAAGGCGGCUUUCUAGCCUAUUCCUGACGCUGAGGCGCGAAAGCGUGGGGAGCAAACAGG